UCUACUGCAGCAUGUAGCCUUGAACUUCAAUCCCUGGAAGACUUCAUAGACCUACUGGUGAAAAUGCUUAGGAUGGAUCCCAGGCAAAGGAUUACACCC